rnacentral:snRNA from 1 species
CUCGCCUCUCAAGAUCAAGUGCAGUAUCUGUUCUUAUCAGUUUAAUAUGCGAUACGUCCCCUAUAAGGAGAAUUGAAAUUGCUUCUUGACAACAUUU